rnacentral:rRNA from 1 species
UACGGAGGGAGCUAGCGUUGUUCGGAAUUACUGGGCGUAAAGCGCGCGUAGGCGGCUUUGUAAGUUAGAGGUGAAAGCCCGGAGCUCAACUCCGGAACUGCCUUUAAAACUGCAUCGCUUGAAUCCAGGAGAGGUGAGUGGAAUUCCGAGUGUAGAGGUGAAAUUCGUAGAUAUUCGGAAGAACACCAGUGGCGAAGGCGGCUCACUGGACUGGUAUUGACGUUGAGGUGCGAAAGCGUGGGGAGCAAACAGG